UAGUUCAGUUGGUUAGAAUGCCAGCCUGUCACGCUGGAGGUCAGGGGUUCGAGCCCCC
rnacentral:tRNA from 1 species